CAAAACAAAAUCCAUUACAAAUAUUAUUUCAAAUGCUACUUCAAAUGGAGGAAAAAAAUUUGACAUCAAAAGUAAAGAAAUGCAUCGGCAAAUUAUGAAAUAUGAAAUGCAUGUGCAUCAGUGCAUAUAAUAAACCCCAAAACAGAGAUAAGCUAAAUAUAAUUGAUAAAAACACAGAGAACAAACAAAAUCCCCAAUCCAUAUUCCCAAGAUACAAGUUUGAUAUUAAUAUAACUAUAUUACAAUAUCCAUAAAUCAAGCUUGACAAAAGAGUGUAAACAUUGAUCUCGAAAUCUAAAUUGUGUUCCUAAUUCCUCUGCUAAUUAACAGAAGAAACAAAGGAAUAGGCCGAAAAUAGAAAGGGUAAUAGAAGCAGGGGGAAAAGAAGGGGAAGAUCCAAAUCUCUAACAGAAAGAUUGAAAUGUGUUGUGAAGGAAAAAUGUGCAGAGGAACAGAACUUUAUAAACAGUGGGUUUAAACCAGUUCUUAUAACUAUAUUACAAAUUUACAAUAUCCAGAAAUAUCUUGUGAUAUAAACUCAGAUAACAGAUCGAUAGAUCUAAAGCAAAACAUAAACUAUAAUCCAUAUUGACAUGCGCUGCGAAAACCAAAUCUGCUAUUUCAAGCAAAGUGGCGGACGAGUAGGAAUGGAGAUGGGGUGUUCUGUCCAAACUUUGGUCUGUUCGGACUUCGGAGGCGGAGCGAAGUCGCGAUUUAGGGCUGAGAUUUGAGAUCUGGGGGUUGAGGGCCGAAAUAUGAGAGAUGAGAGUAGACUGUGAUUGUCAAAAUAGUUUAGAGAUUAAAGAGAGUGAGAGACAAUUACUCCAGUCAGUCAGACGGGGAUGAGAGUAUGAUGUUAU
rnacentral:lncRNA from 1 species